rnacentral:tRNA from 1 species
GUUUCCAUAGUUUAAUGGAAGAACGAGAGACUCCUAAGCUCUAGAUGGAGGUUCGAUUCCUCCUGGAGACACCA